rnacentral:tRNA from 1 species
GCCCCUGUAGCUCAGUGGAUUAGAGCGCUUGCUUGCGGAGCAAUAGGCCGGGUGUUCGAGUCGCCCCAGGGGCGCCA